rnacentral:lncRNA from 1 species
UAAAUUCCCCGUAAAGGAUUCACCGCACUUAAUUUAAUUUAUUUAUCGAUGAGUAAUUCUAAUCGGCAUCGAAAUAUCUUUCGAUCAUAUAAACUCCAAAAUAUUAUAAACUUUGGCUAAAAAGCCUCCGAGCCAAAAUCCAAAAUACAAAAAAAUACAUAAAGUGUACUUUAAAAUUAUGGGUCUUACAUUACUACCCCCCAUAAAAUUAGUUUCGUCCUCGAAACUAUGCGUCAAUAAAUAGCUCUGGGUGUUGUUCUCUCAUCUUGCUCUCCAGUUCCCAAGUCGCAUAUCCAGUAAUUGGGUUCCAAAUUACCUUGACCAAUGAAACAUCCUUGGUCCUCAAUCGCUUAAUCUUCCGGUCAUCAAUUCUCACAGGUGGUACUUCGAAUGACAAGUUAUCCUUCAGUUGGAUUGUGUCUGGUUCGAUCACAUGAGAUGGAUUUGCAAGAUAUUUCCUCAAUUGUGACACAUGGAACACGUCAUGAAUAUUAGACAGUAUCGGAGGUAAUGCAAUCCGAUAAGCAACAUGCCCAAUUCGUGCAGAAAUCUGAUAUGGCCCAAUGAAUUUCGGAGUCAACUU